CAGCAAGACCAGCAUUGAACCACACAUGGGUUUAGGGAUUAGCGUCAAGGAGGGUUAUUGGGUUGUUUUGUUUUAUCUUGUCUUGUACCUAGCCUUAGUUCACAGAGCACAAGACAUGCUGUGGGCGCUCGCCCUACUUCUAGCUUUUUUGCCUGCUGGCAGACAAACAUCCUCCAGCUUAGAAGAAGGAAUAAUGUCAAUCACCAGGCCAGUGGGAUCCUCUGUUAUAAUCAGUUGUAAUAUUUACAGAACAGAAAAUUACGUCCACUGGUAUCGAUUCCAGGAAGGGAAGGCCCCCCAGCACCUUCUCUACCAUAACUUCAUCAGUUCCACAACUGUGGUGGAUCCCACACUCAAUUCAGAGAAAUAUCAUGUUUAUGAAGGCACGGACAAGAGUUAUAAAUUUGUGCUUCGGAAUGUGGAGGAGUCCGAUGCUGCUCUCUAUUACUGUGCCACCUGGCUGCCACGAUGAGUCAGCCCCACCCUU